AUUGAACGCUGGCGGCAUGCUUUACACAUGCAAGUCGAACGGUAACAGGCCGCAAGGUGCUGACGAGUGGCGAACGGGUGAGUAAUGCAUCGGAACGUGCCCAGUCGUGGGGGAUAACGCAGCGAAAGCUGUGCUAAUACCGCAUACGAUCUAUGGAUGAAAGCGGGGGACCGUAAGGCCUGGCCAGAUUGGAGCGGCCGAUGUCAGAUUAGGUAGUUGGUGGGGUAAAGGCCCACCAAGCCAACGAUCUGUAGCUGGUCUGAGAGGACGACCAGCCACACUGGGACUGAGACACGGCCCAGACUCCUACGGGAGGCAGCAGUGGGGAAUUUUGGACAAUGGGCGCAAGCCUGAUCCAGCAAUGCCGCGUGCAGGAAGAAGGCCUUCGGGUUGUAAACUGCUUUUGUACGGAACGAAAAGGUCUGGGUUAAUACCCUGGGCUGAUGACGGUACCGUAAGAAUAAGCACCGGCUAACUACGUGCCAGCCGCCGCGGUAAUAC
rnacentral:rRNA from 1 species